AUCGCUUCUCGGCCUUUUGGCUAAGAUCAAGUGUAGUAAAAACUACAAGAUGCUUGAUUUUAAAAAAGCAUCUGAGAAUAUCACUU
rnacentral:snRNA from 1 species